CCUACGGGUGGCAGCAGUGAGGAAUAUUGGUCAAUGGACGGAAGUCUGAAGCAGCAAUGCCGCGUGAAGGAAGACGGCUCUCUGAGUUGUAAACUACUUUUGUACAAGGGUAAACCUGAAUACGUAUCUUCAGCUGCCAGUACUGUACGUAUCAGGAUCGGCUAACUCAGUGCCAGCAGCCGCGGUAAUACGGAGGAUCCAAGCGUUAUCCGGAUUUAUUGGGUUUAAAGGGUGCGUAGGCGGAUUGAUAAGUUAGAGGUGAAAUGUCCGAGCGUAACUCGGGAACUGCCUCUAAUACUGUUGAUCUAGAGAGUAGAAGCGGUAGGCGGAAUGUAUGGUGUAGCGGUGAAAUGCGUAGAGAUCAGACAGAACACCGAUUGCGAAGGCAGCUUACCAAUCUAUAUCUGACGUUGAGGCACGAAAGCGUGGGGAGCAAACAGGAUUAGAUACCCCUGUAGUC
rnacentral:rRNA from 1 species